GACGAACGCUGGCGGCGUGCCUAAUACAUGCAAGUCGAACGCAGUGGGGACGGGUGAGUAACCCGUGGGUAACCUCCCAUCAGAGGGGAUAACACUUGGAAACAGGUGCUAAACCGAUACUGAUGGAUGGACCCGCGGUGCAUUAGCUAGUUGGUGAGGUAAAGGUUCACCAAGGCCACGAUGCAUCGCCGGCCUGAGAGGGUGAUCAGCCACACUGGGACUGAGACACGGCCCAGACUCCUACGGGAGGCAGCAGUGGGGAAUCUUUGGCAAUGGGCGAAAGUCUGACGGAGCAACGCCGCGUGAGUGAAGAAGGUUUUCGGAUGGUAAAACUCUGUUGUUAGAGAAGCGGUAUCUAACCAAAAAGCCACGGCUAACUACGUGCCAGCAGCCGCGGUAAUAC
rnacentral:rRNA from 1 species